rnacentral:misc_RNA from 1 species
GAUGAAGAACGUAGCGAAAUGCGAUAAGUAAUGUGAAUUGCAGAAUCCAGUGAAUCAUCGAAUCUUUGAACGCACAUUGCGCCCCUUGGUAUUCCAUGGGGCAUGCCUGUUCGAGCGUCAUUUGUACCUUCAAGCCUUGCUUGGUGUUGGGUGUUUGUCUCGCCUCUGCGCGCAGACUCGCCUCAAAACAAUUGGCAGCCGGCGUAUUGAUUUCGGAGCGCAGUACAUCUCGCGCUUUGCACUCAGAACGACGACGUCCAAAAGUACAUUUUUACACUCUUGACCUCGGAUCAGGUAGGGAUACCCGCUGAACUUAAGCAUAUCAAUAAGCGGAGGA